CAUUGGAGGUUAGCAUUUAUCUCUAUACUUUCAACCUCUCUCCCCAGCUCAGCGGUGCUGUCUGUGUUCCACAAGAAGGCACGGCCUCCAGGGAUGAGAACCCGCCAGGCUGGGGCCACGUCGCUGGCAUCUGGAGCCCCUAGACUCUCUUUCCCACCAUCCUCGGGAGACCUUACUCUGCAGAGACUUGCAUAUAUGUGCGCAAAGAGAGCUGAUCCCUGUGGCACCCACAGCCUGGACCAGGAGGCAGCAGCAGGAACAAGCUGGAG